CAUUGUCUGUUGUUAGUCUCACGCUAAAAGGAAGUAUUCCCAGUCUAUAAGAGGAUGUUGCGUCUGUAUAUGGUCUUGUUUUCUAGUAGUUAUUAUAAUGAUGCAUUUUUCUUUAGCCUUAAAAUGCAUGAUGGCUGUUGGAGUAUUGCUUCUCUGUCAUUCGGAAGCAGCUCAUUUGGCUAAACGCCUGGGGACAGACCUGUUUGAUAACUGUUUAUACACAAAGGUCACUUGUGGUUUCGAUCCCUGCGCUACCUACACCUGUCCUACAGGCAAAAAGUGCAACAUAUGUUUUGACUGCAAUCCGUUUUGUGUUUAAGUUUAAACUCUUCUGAGCUGAUGAUUUCCAGAGCAAAACGGACAACAAUAAAGUCUCACUAAAAUGGAAA